rnacentral:rRNA from 1 species
GACGAACGCUGGCGGCGUGCUUAACACAUGCAAGUCGAGCGGUAAGGCCCUUUCGGGGGUACACGAGCGGCGAACGGGUGAGUAACACGUGGGUGACCUGCCCUCAGCUCUGGGAUAAGCCUGGGAAACUGGGUCUAAUACUGGAUAUGACUCCACGGUGCAUGUCGUGGGGUGGAAAGCCUUGUGCGGCUGAGGAUGGGCCCGCGGCCUAUCAGCUUGUUGGUGGGGUGANGGCCUACCAAGGCGACGACGGGUAGCUGGUCUGAGAGGGCGACCGGCCACACUGGGACUGAGAUACGGCCCAGACUCCUACGGGAGGCAGCAGUGGGGAAUCUUGCGCAAUGGGCGAAAGCCUGACGCAGCGACGCCGCGUGAGGGAUGACGGCCU